rnacentral:rRNA from 1 species
CACGUAGGGUGCGAGCGUUGUCCGGAAUUAUUGGGCGUAAGGAGCUCGUAGGCGGUGUGUCGCGUCGGCCGUGAAAACCUGCAGCUUAACUGUGGGCUUGCGGUCGAUACGGGCAUCACUGGAGUUCGGCAGGGGAGACUGGAAUUCCUGGUGUAGCGGUGAAAUGCGCAGAUAUCAGGAGGAACACCGGUGGCGAAGGCGGGUCUCUGGGCCGAUACUGACG